GAAUGUUAUCACGGGAGACACACGGCGGGUGCUAACGUCCGUCGUGAAGAGGGAAACAACCCAGACCGCCAGCUAAGGUCCCAAAGUCAUGGUUAAGUGGGAAACGAUGUGGGAAGGCCCAGACAGCCAGGAUGUUGGCUUAGAAGCAGCCAUCAUUUAAAGAAAGCGUAAUAGCUCACUGGUCGAGUCGGCCUGCGCGGAAGAUGUAACGGGGCUAAACCAUGCACCGAAGCUGCGGCAGCGACGCUUAUGCGUUGUUGGGUAGGGGAGCGUUCUGUAAGCCUGUGAAGGUGUGUCGUGAGGCAUGCUGGAGGUAUCAGAAGUGCGAAUGCUGACAUAAGUAACGAUAAAGCGGGUGAAAAGCCCGCUCGCCGGAAGACCAAGGGUUCCUGUCCAACGUUAAUCGGGGCAGGGUGAGUCGACCCCUAAGGCGAGGCCGAAAGGCGUAGUCGAUGGGAAACGGGUUAAUAUUCCCGUACUUGGUGUUACUGCGAAGGGGGGACGGAGAAGGCUAUGUUGGCCGGGCGACGGUUGUCCCGGUUUAAGCGUGUAGGUGUGUGUUCCAGGUAAAUCCGGUUCACUUUAACACUGAGGCGUGAUGACGAGGCACUACGGUGCUGAAGUAACAAAUGCCCUGCUUCCAGGAAAAGCCUCUAAGCAUCAGGUAACAUCAAAUCGUACCCCAAACCGACACAGGUGGUCAGGUAGAGAAUACCAAGGCGCUUGAGAGAACUCGGGUGAAGGAACUAGGCAAAAUGGUGCCGUAACUUCGGGAGAAGGCACGCUGACACGUAGGUGAAGUGAUUUACUCACGGAGCUGAAGUCAGUCGAAGAUACCAGCUGGCUGCAACUGUUUAUUAAAAACACAGCACUGUGCAAACACGAAAGUGGACGUAUACGGUGUGACGCCUGCCCGGUGCCGGAAGGUUAAUUGAUGGGGUCAGCGCAAGCGAAGCUCCUGAUCGAAGCCCCGGUAAACGGCGGCCGUAACUAUAACGGUCCUAAGGUAGCGAAAUUCCUUGUCGGGUAAGUUCCGACCUGCACGAAUGGCGUAAUGAUGGCCAGGCUGUCUCCACCCGAGACUCAGUGAAAUUGAACUCGCUGUGAAGAUGCAGUGUACCCGCGGCAAGACGGAAAGACCCCGUGAACCUUUACUAUAGCUUGACACUGAACAUUGAGCCUUGAUGUGUAGGAUAGGUGGGAGGCUUUGAAGUGUGGACGCCAGUCUGCAUGGAGCCGACCUUGAAAUACCACCCUUUAAUGUUUGAUGUUCUAACGUGGACCCGUUACCCGGGUUGCGGACAGUGUCUGGUGGGUAGUUUGACUGGGGCGGUCUCCUCCUAAAGAGUAACGGAGGAGCACGAAGGUUGGCUAAUCCUGGUCGGACAUCAGGAGGUUAGUGCAAUGGCAUAAGCCAGCUUGACUGCGAGCGUGACGGCGCGAGCAGGUGCGAAAGCAGGUCAUAGUGAUCCGGUGGUUCUGAAUGGAAGGGCCAUCGCUCAACGGAUAAAAGGUACUCCGGGGAUAACAGGCUGAUACCGCCCAAGAGUUCAUAUCGACGGCGGUGUUUGGCACCUCGAUGUCGGCUCAUCACAUCCUGGGGCUGAAGUAGGUCCCAAGGGUAUGGCUGUUCGCCAUUUAAAGUGGUACGCGAGCUGGGUUUAGAACGUCGUGAGACAGUUCGGUCCCUAUCUGCCGUGGGCGCUGGAGAACUGAGGGGGGCUGCUCCUAGUACGAGAGGACCGGAGUGGACGCAUCACUGGUGUUCGGGUUGUCAUGCCAAUGGCACUGCCCGGUAGCUAAAUGCGGAAGAGAUAAGUGCUGAAAGCAUCUAAGCACGAAACUUGCCCCGAGAUGAGUUCUCCCUGAGACUUUAGGUCUCCUGAAGGAACGUUGAAGACGACGACGUUGAUAGGCCGGGUGUGUAAGCGCAGCGAUGCGUUGAGCUAACCGGUACUAAUGAACCGUGAGGCUUAACCUUACAACGCCG
rnacentral:rRNA from 1 species